UACGUAGGGUGCAAGCGUUGUCCGGAAUUAUUGGGCGUAAAGAGCUCGUAGGCGGUUUGUCGCGUCUGCUGUGAAAACUCGGGGCUUAACUCCGGGCCGCAGUGGGUACGGGCAGACUAGAGUGCGGUAGGGGAGACUGGAAUUCCUGGUGUAGCGGUGAAAUGCGCAGAUAUCAGGAGGAACACCGAUGGCGAAGGCAGGUCUCUGGGCAUUAACUGACGCUGAGGAGCGAAAGCAUGGGGAGCGAACAGG
rnacentral:rRNA from 1 species